rnacentral:rRNA from 1 species
AGUGAACGCUGGCGGUAGGCCUAACACAUGCAAGUCGAACGGCAGCACAGUAAGAGCUUGCUCUUACGGGUGGCGAGUGGCGGACGGGUGAGGAAUACAUCGGAAUCUACUUUUUCGUGGGGGAUAACGUAGGGAAACUUACGCUAAUACCGCAUACGACCUACGGGUGAAAGCAGCGGAUCUUGGACCUUGCGCGAUUGAAUUAGCCGAUGUCGGAUUUGCUAGUUGGCGGGGUAAAGGCCCAACAAGGCGACGAUCCGUAGCUGGUCUGAGAGGAUGAUCAGCCACACUGGAACUGAGACACGGUCCAGACUCCUACGGGAGGCAGCAGUGGGGAAUAUUGGACAAUGGGCGCAAGCCUGAUCCAGCCAUACCGCGUGGGUGAAGAAGGCCUUCGGGUUGUAAAGCCCUUUUGUUGGGAAAGAAAAGCAGCAGGUUAAUACCCCGCUGUUCUGACGGUACCCAAAGAAUAAGCACCGGCUAACUUCGUG